CACAAGGAGAACCAGAGGGAACCUGUACUUACAGUACGCUGUGUUCAGCCCAGAGGUGAGAGCCAUUCAAAGCAAACUAACUGUGCUAUUGUGCCUAAGUUGAUACCUGUGGAGAGAAAAGGAGAGAGAGUGGGUAACACGAGGAGAGACCGAGGAAACCUGUACUUACGCCGCUGCCUGUGGAGAAAGAGAAAGCGACCGUUGCCUGUGGAGGAAGAGAAAGAGAGUGAGCACCUCGAGAACGAACUGUGUGAACCAGUACUUACCGUGAGCUGUAUUCAGCGAAGAGGAGGAAGAAGGAGGGCGCUACGGAUACCUAAGACUCAGGCCGGGGCCCGAGUCCCACGCCCCGGAUCCCCGUGGCCCCCUUGCUCCCUGACCUCUUCCCGGCCAUAGCCCAUCUGGAGGGCCGAGUCAGAGUUUAGUUUUUAAUUGCCCUUUCCCUAUUCCCCAAGCUAUUUUUAAAUAUUUAAAUAAAGAUUGUUUUAUCACUUACUUGUUCUCGUGUUGUUUGGCCAUUGGGUUGGCUUUGGGGACCUCCUCGAGGUGGAAGUUGAGAAGGGGUGUGGCUUAGUCAAAGCAUAGCCAGCCCCUGGGUGUGACAGAUUUGGCGUAGUCGGCAGGGUUUCCACCUCGAGUUGAGUAACCAAGGUCGUCCAAUGACCGACAACGCGGGGCCUUCAGCCCAACCCCGUGCCAUGCCCGUUUUUUUAUGGGGAGCCCCUGGAUCCAAAAAAAUAUGGGGGACAGAAUCCGAGGUACGAUUGUCUGAAUGGAAGGCUCAACUAGAGUACCUG
ensembl:lncRNA